rnacentral:tRNA from 1 species
AAGGAUUUAAGUUAAACAAACUAAGAACCUUCAAAGUUCUAAAUAAAGACGAUUCCUCUUUAAGCCUUA